GGAGUCGCUAGGAUGAUCGCCGCGGAAGGUCCGGUUUCCGGUCCGUCCGGGGAGGAAAGUCCGAACUCCGCAGGGCAGCGUGCUGGGUAACCCCCAGGCCCGGAGACGGGACGGAAAGUGCAACAGAGAGUAGACCGCCGGCCGGAUUUCCCACUGCGUCACCGCAGCAGGGGCCUCAUGGUCCGAUCGGUAAGGGUGAAACGGUGCGGUAAGAGCGCACCAGCACCGGCGGCAACGCCGGUGGCUAGGUAAACCCCACGCGGAGCAAGACCAAAUAGGAAAGCGUUUGAGGCCGGCCCGGCUGAAGCUUUCGGGUAGGUUGCUGGAGGGCGGGGGAGACCCCGCUCCUAGAUGAAUGAUCAUCGCCUUUUCGGAGGCACAGAAUUCGGCUUAUGAUCGACUCCACGG
rnacentral:RNase_P_RNA from 1 species